AGAGUUUGAUCCUGGCUCAGGAUGAACGCUGGCGGCGUGCCUAAUACAUGCAAGUCGAACGAGGUGCUUUUGUAGCAAUACGAAAGUAUCCUAGUGGCGAACGGGUGAGUAACGCGUGGGUGACCUGCCCCAAAGUGUGGGAUAACAGUCCGAAAGGAUUGCUAAUACCUCAUGUGGUCUCCGGGUUUAGAAACCGGCGACUAAAGCAGCAAUGCGCUUUGGGAGGGACCUGCGUCCCAUCAGCUAGUUGGUGAGGUAACGGCUCACCAAGGCGACGACGGGUAGGGGACCUGAGAGGGUGGCCCCCCACAAUGGAACUGAAACACGGUCCAUACACCUACGGGUGGCAGCAGUAGGGAAUAUUGCUCAAUGGGCGAAAACCUGAAGCAGCAACGCCGCGUGUGCGAUGAAGGCCCUCGGGUCGUAAAGCACUUUUCUACGAGAUGAGAAAGGACAGUAUCGUAGGAAUAAGUCUCGGCUAACUACGUGCCAGCAGCCGC
rnacentral:rRNA from 1 species